rnacentral:sRNA from 1 species
ACUCCUAUUUCUUGUUUCAGAUGAAGAGGAAGUCUCCCCGCCUAGCGCCUUGCCUCCAGAUUGGACCCUUGUCGAACCACCUGCUGGGGAGGAACAAGCCAAGCAGAAUGCCAACUCCCAGCUGUCCAUCUUGUUCAUUGAAAAACCUCAAGGAGGAACAGUGAAAGUUGGUGAAGAUAUCACCUUUAUAGCCAAAGUCAAGGCUGAAGAUCUUCUGAGAAAACCCACUAUCAAAUGGUUCAAAGGAAAAUGGAUGGACCUGGCCAGCAAAGCCGGGAAGCACCUUCAGCUGAAGGAAACCUUCGAGAGGCACAGUCGGGUGUACACAUUUGAGAUGCAGAUCAUCAAGGCCAAAGAGAACUUUGCAGGAAAUUACAGAUGCGAGGUUACCUAUAAGGAUAAGUUUGACAGCUGUUCAUUUGAUCUUGAAGUGCACGAAUCUACUGGGACUACUCCAAACAUUGACAUCAGAUCUGCUUUCAAGAGAAGUGGAGAAGGUCAAGACGAUGCAGGGGAACUUGACUUUAGUGGUCUCCUGAAACGUAGGUGAGAACCAAGUGAUGGAGUGAGACAUUGUGGCCUGGAAGUCUUUCAGACACCCACUCAGAGAAGUCAAGUUUAAAGUGGAUGUUUUUCAGAGAAUUUUUCAUUUCUGAACAUGUGUUUUGCUUAUAGAAUAUAACAGAGUUGACUAGAAAGAGAGAAACAACUGCGUACUAAUCUUUUAAAGCCUUUAACGGAUGCUUUUAAACUUUCUUUUUAAAUGUUUCAUGACUAGUCACCUAUUUUUUUUAAAUGGGGAUGAAGAGAUAUGAAAACUGAGACAUAAGAUGAAUACCUAGAAACUUCUAAGACUGCACAUAUGAUUCCUACUCAUGACUGAAUAAAUGAAGCCUUCAUUCUCUUACCUUUGAUAUUUGGUCAAAAACUCAGUUUUACAAUUUUGGUAGAAGUCUGAAGGUAUACACAUUGUAAGAGGCAGACCUACUUUAAUGUAUUAUUUAUGAGGUACUGUAUUUCUGCAAGUCUAAGACACCACUGCU